AUUGAACGCUGGCGGCAUGCUUUACACAUGCGAGUCGAACGGUAACGGGCCUUCGGGUGCUGACGAGUGGCGAACGGGUGAGUAAUGCAUCGGAACGUGCCCAGAGGUGGGGGAUAACGCAGCGAAAGCUGUGCUAAUACCGCAUGUGAUCUGAGGAUGAAAGCGGGGGACCAAGCAGCAAUGUUUGGCCUCGCGCCUCUGGAGCGGCCGAUGUCAGAUUAGGUAGUUGGUGGGGUAAAGGCCUACCAAGCCGACGAUCUGUAGCUGGUCUGAGAGGACGACCAGCCACACUGGGACUGAGACACGGCCCAGACUCCUACGGGAGGCAGCAGUGGGGAAUUUUGGACAAUGGGCGCAAGCCUGAUCCAGCAAUGCCGCGUGCGGGAAGAAGGCCUUCGGGUUGUAAACCGCUUUUGUACGGAACGAAAAGGCUCUGGCUAAUACCUGGGGCUGAUGACGGUACCGUAAGAAUAAGCACCGGCUAACUACGUG
rnacentral:rRNA from 1 species